rnacentral:rRNA from 1 species
UGCUUGUCUCAAAGAUUAAGCCAUGCAUGCCUAAGCAUAACUAAAUUAAAGUGAAGCCACGAAUAGCUCAUUACAACAGCCGUUGUUUCUUGGAUCUCCGUAAUACUUGGAUAACUGUGGUAAUUCUAGAGCUAAUACACGCAAUCGAGCUCCGACCGUAAGGAACGAGCGCAUUUAUUAGAACAAAACCAAUCAGUGCUUGCACUGUGGUUUGGUGAAUCUGAAUAACUGAGCAGAUCGCUACGGUCUUGUACCGGCGACGUAUCUUUCAAGUGUCUGCCUUAUCAACUUUCGAUGGUAGUUUAUGUGCCUACCAUGGUUGUAACGGGUAACGGAGAAUUAGGGUUCGACUCCGGAGAGGGAGCCUGAGAAACGGCUACCACUUCCRAGGAAGGCAGCAGGCA